ACAGGGAUUGCCCUAGUAACGGCGAGUGAAGCGGCAACAGCUCAAAUUUGAAAUCUGGCGUCUUUGGCGUCCGAGUUGUAAUUUGCAGAGGGCGCUUUGGCAUUGGCAGCGGUCCAAGUUCCUUGGAACAGGACGUCACAGAGGGUGAGAAUCCCGUACGUGGUCGCUAGCCUUUACCGUGUAAAGCCCCUUCGACGAGUCGAGUUGUUUGGGAAUGCAGCUCUAAAUGGGAGGUAAAUUUCUUCUAAAGCUAAAUACUGGCCAGAGACCGAUAGCGCACAAGUAGAGUGAUCGAAAGAUGAAAAGCACUUUGGAAAGAGAGUUAAAAAGCACGUGAAAUUGUUGAAAGGGAAGCGCUUGCAGCCAGACUUGCCUGUAGUUGCUCAUCCGGGUUUCUACCCGGUGCACUCUUCUAUAGGCAGGCCAGCAUCAGUUUGGGCGGUUGGAUAAAGGUCUCUGUCAUGUACCUCUCUUCGGGGAGAACUUAUAGGGGAGACGACAUGCAACCAGCCUGGACUGAGGUCCGCGCAUCUGCUAGGAUGCUGGCGUAAUGGCUGUAAGCGGCCCGUCUUGAAACACGGACCAAGGAGUCUAACAUCUAUGCGAGUGUUUGGGUGUCAAGCCCGAACGCGUAAUGAAAGUGAACGGAGGUGGGAACCUUUCGGGGUGCACCAUCGACCGAUCCUGAUGUCUUCGGAUGGAUUUGAGUAAGAGCAUAGCUGUUGGGACCCGAAAGAUGGUGAACUAUGCUUGAAUAGGGUGAAGCCAGAGGAAACUCUGGUGGAGGCUCGCAGCGGUUCUGACGUGCAAAUCGAUCGUCAAAUUUGGGCAUAGGGGCGAAAGACUAAUCGAACUAUCUAGUAGCUGGUUCCUGCCGAAGUUUCCCUCAGGAUAGCAGUAACGUUUUCAGUUUUAUGAGGUAAAGCGAAUGAUUAGAGGCCUGGGGGUUGAAACAACCUU
rnacentral:rRNA from 1 species